rnacentral:ncRNA from 1 species
GAACCGGCUGAAGGACGCCGAGCCGAGUACCAUACACUGGACUCCUACAUGUAAAGCAGUAUGUUGCCUUCCACAACCACGGUGUCCACCUGCGCGGUCGAAGAAAUCCCAUUCCAGUUAUACCAAAACUCAAUCCUGACACGGGGAGGUAGUGACAAUAAAUAACAAUACCGGGCGCGUUAGUGUCUGGUAAUUAGAAUAAGUACAAUCUAAAUCCCUUAACGAGAAUCCAUUGGAGGGCAAGUCUGGUGCCAGCAGCCACGGUAAUUCCAGCUCCAAUAGCAUAUAUUUAAGUUGUUGCGGUUAAAAAGCUCGUUCCAAACUUUGAAAAGCAAUCAUGUCUUCAAUUAAAAUUGUAAUAUAGAUGAAUUAAUUCUGCUAUGGUACUAUAAAAAAUAGCUUGCCACAUAAUACAAACCAAAUUUUUUUAUUUUAGAGUGCAAAAUUAGCAACCUAAUGAAAAUGUAACUCAAGUAACAAUAGAACGGGGAACGGAUGGAGAGUGCAAAAGCUCAAUUUUAUUGUAUCAUCA